rnacentral:piRNA from 4 species
GGGGGAUGUAGCUCAGUGGUAGAGCGCGC